rnacentral:rRNA from 1 species
GAUGAACGCUGGCGGCGUGCCUAAUACAUGCAAGUCGAGCGAACAGACGAGGAGCUUGCUCCUCUGACGUUAGCGGCGGACGGGUGAGUAACACGUGGAUAACCUACCUAUAAGACUGGGAUAACUUCGGGAAACCGGAGCUAAUACCGGAUAAUAUAUUGAACCGCAUGGUUCAAUAGUGGAAGACGGUUUUGCUGUCACUUAUAGAUGGAUCCGCGCCGCAUUAGCUAGUUGGUAAGGUAACGGCUUACCAAGGCGACGGUGCGUAGCCGACCUGGGAGGGUGGUCGGCCAACAUGGAACUGGAACCCGGUCCAGACCCCUACGGGAGGCAGCAGUAGGGAAUCUUCCGCAAUGGGCGAAAGCCUGACGGAGCAACGCCGGGUGAGGGAUAAAGGUCUUCGGAUCUGUAAACUCUGUUAUUAGGGAAGAACAAAUGUGUAAGUAACUAUGCACGUCUUGGCGGUACCUAAUCGGAAAGCCACGGCUAACUACGUG